UGUUUUGAGCCUGCGAUAGAAGGGGACAACACGUGCCUUGGGAAAAAACUCAUGUUCCACCCAGAUAGUUUUUCACAACAUUUCCUCUUUGCACCGGUGUCGAGACCAACUUAGUUGUGAGAAAGUCUGUAUCUUUAGAGGAGAUAGCAAUAUGACUGUAUCAUUUAUUGAUAUUCUCCUAAUUAGUGAUUAGCUGACGGUUUUUAGCAGGAUUGGGCUAAAUGCUCAAAUAAAAACCUGAGGUGAAGAACUAUCAUUCCCUGCAGUAGAAGUCCAUGUGAGAGGAGAGAGCUGUAUGAUACUAGGAGGACAAGACACCAAUAAUCUCAAGGGACUCACAGCAGUUGGGCUUUUCUCCUCUCUAGAGCACCAACUGAAACAGACAGAAUGAACAGAGCACGAGGACGGUGUUUCACUUUACUACUACUACUGGGGUGUGUACAUGGGAGCAAGUCUCCUCAAAGGGAGGUGGUAUUCAGUAGAGGGAUCCAACUCUUUGUUGAAGGUUUGAACCCUUCUAAUCCCUCUGUGCUAAUCCUCUCCUCAUUUGGGCGCAACCCUGGUGCCUCACCUACACUGGUGUGUGUACUCAGUGGUUUAAAAACACGUCAUUUGGUGGACAUCAUUUGGUGGAUCAACGACACAGUGGUAACCCCUGAGAACAAUGCGAUUUGGAGUUCCAGGGGAAGCGAUGGCACGUACACAACUACCGGACUGUGGACUAUGUCUGGAAAGGACUGGAAUCCCUAUACAUUCCAAUAAUUAUGGGCCAAAAUUCACCCAACUUAUUGUGGGAAGCUUGUUGAAGGCUACCAGAAACGUUUGACCCAAGUUAAACAAUUUAAAGGCAAUGCUUCCAAAUACUAAUUGAGUGUAUGUAAACUUCUGACCCUGUCACGCCCUGGCCUUAGUAUUCUUUGUUUUCUUUAUUAUUUUAGUUAGGUCAGGGUGUGACAUGGGGAAUGUUUGUGUUUUGUUGGUUUUGGGUGUUUUUAUGGUAAAGGGGUUGUUGGGUAUAGUAUAUGGGUUUGUGUGGAGUACAUGUGUCUAGUGUUGUCUAUGUAUGUUUAGUUGUCUAGGAGAGUCUAUGGUUACCUGAAUGAGUUCCCAAUUAGAGACAGCUGAUUUCGGUUGUCUCUGAUUGGGAGCCUUAUUUAGGGUAGCCAUAGGCUCUCAUUGGUGGUGAGUAGUUGUCUAUGUGAUACGUUUGUAGCCUGUGUGUGCACAUCGUUGUUUUAGCUUCACGAUCGUUUUCUUGUUUUGUUUAGUGUUUAAGUGUUUUGGUUUCGUGUGCCUUCUUCACCAAUAAAAAGGAGAUGGCUUAUUUUCCUAAAGCUGCGUUUUGGUCCGUCAAUCCGCCAUACGAUCGUGACAGACCCACUGGGAAUGUGAUGAAGGAAAUAAAAGCUGAAAUAAAUCAUUCUCUCUACUAUUAUUCUGACAUUUCAUAUUCUUAAAAUAAAGUGGUGAUCCUAACUGACCUAAGACAGAGAAUUUAUACUAGGAUUACUAGGAUUACUAGGACUAGAAUGUCAGGAAUUGUGAAAAACUGAGUUAAAUGUAUUUGGCUAAGGUGUAUGUAAACUUCCGACUUCAACUGUACAUGUUUGCAAUCAAAUACUAAAGUCUCUGUAAACAUCAGCAUCGUGUUAAGAUGAACAUUCAAAUAAUUGUCGUUAGGAGUGGCUAAACCUGUAUGCUGGAAACUGGACUAAAAUACAGUUAAACCUUUUUAACUUUAUCAUCACGCUGCCAAUAAUACAUUCGAUUCACACAAUGACUUGGAAGAAAUGCCAAUGAGUUCAUAAAGCCAUUUUAUUUGUAUUUGUCACGUUCCUGACCUGUUUUCUGUUAGUUUUGUAUGUGUUAGUUGGUCAGGACGUGAGUUUGGGUGGGCAGUCUAUGUUUUCUGUUUCUAUGUUGGUUUAAAGGGUGACCUGAUAUGGCUCUCAAUUAGAGGCAGGUGGUUUUCAUUUCCUCUGAUUGAGAGCCAUAUUAAGGUAGGUGUUUUCACACUGUUUG